AGAUCGGUUGCCUAUUGAUCCUUGUUGGUACUAYGAUGGUUGCGCAUGCUGAGGCCAGUAAUCAAAUAUUGGGAAGGCUUGGUGAUGUAGGCUACAUCCCGGUCAUGGUGGGUUCGAUAUUGUUACUUUCGCAUCGUUCGGUGCAUUCUGGGGGCUGUUUUGGCUUUUGGUUGCCUGCUUCGCCUUUUGGUUGGGUGGGUGGCUACUAGUUGGGCGGCUUUCGGGAAUGAUCGUAAAGGUGCAUGAGUGGUGAUUGGUUUGUUACGUGUGGAUGGCUGUUUGCUCGCGCACCAACGUCCACGCUGCAUACCUCUUCAGUUUUGCGUCAAGACUUGCUUUGUCUUGAGCGUAUUGUGGGUUUCCUGUGUUGCAUACCUAAUUGACGGUAACGUGUGGGUUUUAUGGUUUUCUUUUUCGUCAUGCAUCGUUCAUGCGGUGUGGGAUGAACAAUGAAACGGUCUUUGUAAUCCAUAGUGUUGUUGUCUUUGCAACAAUGAUGUGGCCUACGAAGCAUC
rnacentral:misc_RNA from 1 species